CAUACACAUUUCAUAUACUCACACACAAACACACACAUAUAUAUAUAUAUACAUGUGCAUAUGUAUAUGCAUAUAUGUAUACAUAUAGAGGAGGGAGUGUGUGGAGGGGUGUAACUCUAUCCCUGUCACUCCCCUCCCUCCUCUUCCAACUCUUUCUCUCUAUGUGUGUCCGACACUCGUCCCUCUCACCCUUCCUUGCAUCUUCUCCUUCUCCUUCUCCCUGGCAACUCCUUUUCUUUCUCCCAGUCAGUCGCUCGCUUGCAUUUCAUAUUUCAUCUACUCUCACCACUGCCCCCUCUGCUCUGUGUCCCGUUAGUCUUUCGCCUCUCAGCACAGCUGAGCGCUGUUUCUGAGAUCGAGACGUGGUAAAAGUUACUACGUCUUUUUCUUUUUACUAUUUCACACACUCACAUACAACGGCAUACACGUACACAAAUAUAUACACAUAUUACCCGUACACAUACACACACACCCGUACACAUACACACACAUACACAGACGUAUAUUCGCUUCUGUUCUCUCGCUCUCACGAAUUCGACCACAUUUCAGAUAUUAGUUAUUCAACAGUGCUGACAAAACAGAUCACCAACAUUUCAUUAACACCACUUUAUUAAUAAUAUCUACAUAUUUCACUUCGACAACAACAUCAUCGCUGUCGUCAUCGUCUGUCAGCAAAAUACACGCAUUAUAAAUACACUGAGUGGGGCAUACGAAACACGUUGUCAUCUCACAACAAGUUACAAUAACGACAAUAUUAAUAACAGCCGCAAUAUAUUUCAAGUUAAGUUCACCGUUCUUUUGAAAACGCGUAAUCCGAUUACAUUUAUUAGAUAUACACAGACACAUUUAUACUUCCACACACACACAUACACACAACUCUUGCAUUCAGUCCUAUACCCAUCGUUAAUAAGGUAUCUUUAUAAAGGGUGGCAUAAUCUUUUUUUUUUUUUUUUUGCAGUGUCAACCUCUCUUUCCGUCUUUGAUAACAGACAGGACACGCGAAAACCCCUUUCUCUCUCUCUCUACCCUGUCAUACACACAGGACAUUACAAAUGACCGUGUCGUCGCGGUAUAUUUAUCCCCUAUAACCAUGUAAUUUCUAAACAGGGGUAUACUAACGUAUAAGAAAAAAUAUAUAUAUACAAUGUAUGCUCCGUUGUGAUUAUUCUAGCUCGUUAACGAUAUUGUCAGACAGCCGAAAUUCUAAAUGUAUAUAUGUUAGAGUGUGUAUAUUUUUGUGUGUAUGUAUGUAUGUAAAAAGCUAGAGUAGUGAGAUGGAAGUUUAUGAAGCUAUUGCGGAUUUUACCCCGGAUAUAAACGACGCUUUAAGAAAUGUCCUGACAUUCUAUGCUGGUGACAAGUUUGUACCUGUCACCUGUUCUGGUGAGGACUAUGCCAGUUUGGCCGAUGGACAGUGGGUCGGUGCCAGGGCACUGAAGGACAACCAAAUUGGAUAUAUACCAACCUCUUAUAUUCAGGUA
rnacentral:lncRNA from 1 species